rnacentral:rRNA from 1 species
AUUGAACGCUGGCGGCAGGCCUAACACAUGCAAGUCGAGCGAGCGGCGGACGGGUGAAUAAUGUAUGGGGAUCUGCCCGAUAGAGGGGGAUAACUACUGGAAACGGUGGCUAAUACCGCUUACUAUCGGCUGAGCCCACAUGGGAUUAGCUAGUGGGUGGGGAAAAGGCUCACCUAGGCGACGAUCCCUAGCUGGUCUGAGAGGAUGAUCCGCCACACUGGGACUGAGACACGGCCCAGACUCCUACGGGAGGCAGCAGUGGGGAAUAUUGCACAAUGGGCGAAAGCCUGAUGCAGCCAUGCCGCGUGAGUGAAGAAGGUUUUCGGAUCGUAAAACUCUGUUGUUAGAGAAGCGGUAUCUAACCAGAAAGCCACGGCUAACUACGUGCCAGCAGCCGCGGUAAUUC